rnacentral:misc_RNA from 1 species
UUCCUUCCGCAGUGUACACUUGUAGAAGCCUUUGCAGCCACGCAAGUGGUAGAUCCAGGCGACUUUAAAUAAUUCCAGGAUCGCUAUGCAAGUCGGCCCACGCAUGUGGUGCCGGCGACACUUUCGAAUUGACGGGGACACCCUAAAGCCUGUCGCACCAACUCUGCGUGGGAAACCGCUCGAGGGCCCGUGCUAACUACACGGGGUGGUAACAGACGACAUGGAUACUUCCACGCCUUUGGUGUGGAUACUAUGGGCAAUCCGCAGCGAAGCCUCUAAGUCCGGCCGCCGGAUAUGAGGAACGUUCACAGACUAAGUGGAAGUGGGUGGAGCGUUUGCCGCUCUGCUUAAGAUAUAGUCGGUCCCCUUAGGAAACCAAGGGGGUGAGUACGCUGCUUGAAAUUUAAACACGAACGUCCUCGGAGUUAGAAUUUCGAGACUGUCAAUUGCCUCGCGGCUUGACAGCUCUUAAAACGUUCCGUAGGUGAACCUGCGGAAGGAUCAUUACAGAAAGUAAACGCGAGUCAAACCGCGAACUUCUAAACCUUUGACGAUUGACUCAUGUUGCCUCGGCGGGUUCGCCCGCCAGAGGAUACAUCAAAACUCCUGUUUUAACGGUGUUGUCUGAGCUACAAGCAACGAAUCAAAACUUUCAACAACGGAUCUCUUGGUUCUGGCAUCGAUGAAGAACGCAGCGAAAUGCGAUAAGUAGUGUGAAUUGCAGAAUUCAGUGAAUCAUCGAAUCUUUGAACGCACAUUGCGCCCUCUUGGUAUCCCGAGGGGCAUGCCUGUUCGAGCGUCAUUUCACCACUCA